rnacentral:rRNA from 1 species
UACGGGGGGGGCUAGCGUUGUUCGGAAUUACUGGGCGUAAAGGGCUCGUAGGCGGCCAACUAAGUCACACGUGAAAUCCCCAGGCUUAACCUGGGAACUGCGUGUGAUACUGGAUGGCUUGAAUCCGGGAGAGGGAUGCGGAAUUCCAGGUGUAGCGGUGAAAUGCGUAGAUAUCUGGAGGAACACCGGUGGCGAAGGCGGCAUCCUGGACCGGCAUUGACGCUGAACAGCGAAAGCCAGGGGAGCAAACGGG